rnacentral:rRNA from 1 species
AUUGAACGCUGGCGGCAGGCCUAACACAUGCAAGUCGAACGGUAACAGGAAACAGCUUGCUGUUUCGCUGACGAGUGGCGGACGGGUGAGUAAUGUCUGGGAAACUGCCUGAUGGAGGGGGAUAACUACUGGAAACGGUGGCUAAUACCCCAUAACUUCGCAAGCCCAAAGAGGGGGACUUUCGGGCCUCUUGCCAUCGGAGGUGCCCAGAUGGGAUUAGCUAGUAGGUGGGGUAACGGCUCACCUAGGCGACGAUCCCUAGCUGGUCUGAGAGGAUGACCAGCCACACUGGAACUGAGACACGGUCCAGACUCCUACGGGAGGCAGCAGUGGGGAAUAUUGCACAAUGGGCGCAAGCCUGAUGCAGCCAUGCCGCGUGUAUGAAGAAGGCCUUCGGGUUGUAAAGUACUUUCAGCGGGGAGGAAGGGAGUAAAGUUAAUACCUUUGCUCAUUGACGUUACCCGCAGAAGAAGCACCGGCUAACUCCGUG